AUUGAACGCUGGCGGCAGGCCUAACACAUGCAAGUCGAGCGGAUGAAGGGAGCUUGCUCCUGGAUUCAGCGGCGGACGGGUGAGUAAUGCCUAGGAAUCUGCCUGGUAGUGGGGGAUAACGUCCGGAAACGGGCGCUAAUACCGCAUACGUCCUGAGGGAGAAAGUGGGGGAUCUUCGGACCUCACGCUAUCAGAUGAGCCUAGGUCGGAUUAGCUAGUUGGUGGGGUAAAGGCCUACCAAGGCGACGAUCCGUAACUGGUCUGAGAGGAUGAUCAGUCACACUGGAACUGAGACACGGUCCAGACUCCUACGGGAGGCAGCAGUAGGGAAUAUUGGACAAUGGGCGAAAGCCUGAUCCAGCCAUGCCGCGUGUGUGAAGAAGGUCUUCGGAAUGUAAAGCACUUUAAGUUGGGAGGAAGGGCAGUAAGUUAAUACCUUGCUGUUUUGACGUUACCAACAGAAUAAGCACCGGCUAACUUCGUG
rnacentral:rRNA from 1 species